rnacentral:lncRNA from 1 species
CCACACAGCUCUGCAGGAUUCAUCAAUGGUGCUGGGGUUAAGACAUACUUGGAAGAAGAAGGACCGCAUUGCUGGUGCCCCACCAUACCUUUUCUAGUGUGGAUGAAGUGUUAGCAUCUUCUCCCAGGCUGAAAAUACAACACUGUUUAGCAAACAAUAAUGAGCCUGUCCUUGCAUCGUUUUGCCUGCUGUUUGCUUCUGUUUGACUUCGGCCAAAUGGGCAUGAGUGAUGGCGUCAUUAUGAGUCAAGAGUUCCAAGAAAGUUGCCAUUGUGUGGGUCACCUAUCAGAUUAUCAUCUCCUUGGAAUGCUAAACCUCUUGAAGCAAGAUAUAAGAGAUCUGUGGCCCCCCUCCUCCCCCAUUCCUCUAUGGCAGUUAAAGGCCUCAUCUUGGAGAGAUGGAGUUCGGAAUGUAUUACAAUAGUGCAAAACAAGAAAUUGCUAUCACUAUCUGAUGAGAGUUACCAAGGGUCGGUGAAGCAGAGAUCUCUGAUUUUUAGAUUUCUUUCAUUUUUUUUGACAAGCUUGCAAAGCUUG